CUACGGGUGGCUGCAGUGGGGAAUAUUGCACAAUGGGCGAAAGCCUGAUGCAGCCAUGCCGCGUGUGUGAAGAAGGCCUUCGGGUUGUAAAGCACUUUCAGUAGGGAGGAAAGGGUGUACGUUAAUACCGUGCAUCUGUGACGUUACCUACAGAAGAAGCACCGGCUAACUCCGUGCCAGCAGCCGCGGUAAUACGGAGGGUGCGAGCGUUAAUCGGAAUUACUGGGCGUAAAGCGUGUGUAGGCGGUUAUUUAAGCGAGAUGUGAAAUCCCGGGGCUCAACCUCGGAACUGCAUUUCGAACUGGAUGACUAGAGGUUUGUAGAGGGUGGUGGAAUUGCCAGUGUAGCGGUGAAAUGCGUAGAGAUUGGAAGGAACAUCAGUGGCGAAGGCGGCCACCUGGACAAAAACUGACGCUGAGACACGAAAGCGUGGGGAGCAAACAGGAUUAGAUACCCCCGUAGUC
rnacentral:rRNA from 1 species